rnacentral:rRNA from 1 species
GACAGAGGUGGCAAGCGUUGUUCGGAUUUACUGGGCGUAAAGCGUGCGCAGGCGGCCCGUUAAGACAGGUGUGAAAUCCCUGGGCUCAACCUAGGAAUUGCGCUUGUGACUGGCGGGCUCGAGUACGGUAGAGGGGGGUGGAAUUCCUGGUGUAGCAGUGAAAUGCGUAGAGAUCAGGAGGAACACCGAUGGCGAAGGCAGCCCCCUGGGCCUGUACUGACGCUCAUGCACGAAAGCGUGGGGAGCAAACAGG